CCGUGCCAGCAGCCGCGGUAAGACGGGGGAUGCAAGUGUUAUCCGGAUUUACUGGGCGUAAAGCGUCUGCAGGUGGUUUCUUAAGUCUACUGUUAAAUCUUGAGGCUCAACCUCAAAUCUGCAGUAGAAACUAGGAGACUUGAGUAUAGUAGGGGUAGAGGGAAUUUCCAGUGGAGCGGUGAAAUGCGUAGAUAUUGGAAAGAACACCGAUGGCGAAGGCACUCUACUGGGCUAUUACUGACACUCAGAGACGAAAGCUAGGGGAGCAAAUGGGAUUAGAUACCCCAGUAGUCCUAGCCGUAAACGAUGGAUACUCGAUGUUGGACGUAUCGACCCGUUCAGUAUCUUAGCUAACGCGUUAAGUAUCCCGCCUGGGGAGUACGCUCGCAAGAGUGAAGCUCAAAGGAAUUGACGGGGGCCCGCACAAGCGGUGGAGGAUGUGGUUUAAUUCGAUGCAACGCGAAGAACCUUACCAGGGUUUGCUAGAAGUGUUGGUUUUCUGAAAAGGAUUCCUUAUUCCGCUUCUACAGGUGGUGCAUGGCUGUCGUCAGCUCGUGUCGUGAGAUGUUGGGUUAAGUCCCGCAACGAGCGCAACCCUUAUUUUUAGUUCUAUUGUCUAAAAAGACUGCCGGUGACAAACCGGAGGAAGGUGAGGACGACGUCAAGUCAUCAUGCCCCUUACACCCUGGGCUACACACGUCCUACAAUGGGUAAGACAAUAAGCUGCAAAUUCGCGAGGAUAAGCUAAUCUUUGAAACUUACUCCAAGUACAGAUUGCAGGCUGCAACUCGCCUGCAUGAAGGUGGAAUCGCUA
rnacentral:rRNA from 1 species